AUGUACAUUUCAGCAUUAAAUGGUGCCUUCAAAGAUGUGCAAGUUAUCCGCCAGUGUACAAGAAAAAGCCUGCUUCUCCUCCACACCGUGCACGUUGAUGUCAUUGCAACAGGAAGCGAAGGCCGCGCCCUCCUCAGCCGCAAGUCGGCAUUCACGCAGACUGCCAGUGCAGACAUGAAUAGUGUGCUCGUGUGCGUGCUGACGGCUGCUUUGAGUCUCGGAAACGGUCAGCAAACGGUGCACCAGCCGGCGGGCGAUGUCCACGCUGUGGAGGGCGCAAUGGUGACGCUGGACUGCAGCUUCCGACAGUACACAGAGCAACGACUACAUCUUCUGGUACAAACAGCAAGUGAAUGCGGCACCCGAGUUUAUUGUGAGCAUCUUUAAGAUCGGUCAGGGCAAGACGGAGAAGAAGUACGCCGACAGGUUUCGCGCCAGCAUGGACACCAGCACCCUGCAAGCUCCUCUGCAUAUCGAGAGCGUGAAGCUGAGCGACUCGGCAGUCUACUACUGCGCCCUGCAGCCCACGCUGACACAUCCGCUGGCGUGCCUGCACAAAAACACCUGCACCCGCCUCGUGCCACCUUACGUUGGGGGUGUGGAGCGAACGGCUUGAUUUGUCACCAUUUUGAAGCCUCGUUUUAUAUCCAUUCUUUUUUUUUUUAUAUAAUCAUUCAAAUGAUGAAUGGUUGUUAACAAUUUUCUCUUUGGUGUGUUGAAUUUCAAAUAAAUAUUUUGUUUAUAUGUUGCCAAUAAAAGAAAUGAGAUAUCCACUCACAGAAAUGCACAAUCAUUCACACCCUCACUGAGCGCGAACUGAACCCGAGCUGCCUGCACAGAAGUCAGGUGAUAGACCAGUGGCUAAUAAACAUGCUUUGUUCAAUAAAUACAAUUUAAAAAAUCAAGUACAGUAUGCUAUGGGGAAGAGCACGCGUGCGUGACCCCGAAACAGCUCUGCGGCUGCCACUCACACGUAUACACUUGCUGCCUGAGUUGAAGACGCACAAACCAAACAACACGCUGCUCCACCUUCUCAUCAGGGUCAACAAGGUCAUAUGACUGACACAAAGUCACGGUGAUGAUGAUGAAUAUAACAUAUAUAAACUGCGUUAGCAUUUUCAAGUACGGGCAAGCUUGCGCUGUCACACUUGCACGCUGUCCCGCGGCACUUUUCACACGACUCAGGUG